GAUGAACGCUGGCAGCGUGCUUAACACAUGCAAGUCGAACGGUGAAGGCGGAGCUUGCUCUGCUGGAUCAGUGGCGAACGGGUGAGUAACACGUGAGCAAUCUGCCCCUGACUCUGGGAUAAGCGCUGGAAACGGCGUCUAAUACUGGAUACGAGCUGCGAAGGCAUCUUCAGCAGCUGGAAAGAAUUUCGGUCAGGGAUGAGCUCGCGGCCUAUCAGCUUGUUGGUGAGGUAAUGGCUCACCAAGGCGUCGACGGGUAGCCGGCCUGAGAGGGUGACCGGCCACACUGGGACUGAGACACGGCCCAGACUCCUACGGGAGGCAGCAGUGGGGAAUAUUGCACAAUGGGCGAAAGCCUGAUGCAGCAACGCCGCGUGAGGGACGACGGCCUUCGGGUUGUAAACCUCUUUUAGCAGGGAAGAAGCGAAAGUGACGGUACCUGCAGAAAAAGCGCCGGCUAACUACGUG
rnacentral:rRNA from 1 species